GUAGAACGGAGUCCAGCUGGGUAAGCAACAGGAGCAUUUCUAAACCUGCCACAAAGACAUCGUCUGGAGGGCUUCGCCUGCCAGAAAGCUGUGUGUUAUUUUGGAGGCCAGAGAUGAGAUGGCAGGCUCGGGAAACAUUGCUGAUGCGCAUGAAGUGGGCUUUGACUGAGCCUCCUUUUGAGAGAACUAUGAUCUGCACAUACGCUAAGAGUGUCCGGUGGGAGAGAUGACUUGAACCCGGUUCAUGACUCUUAGCGCUCUGUCAAAGAUGAGAAACUUUCACAUGUGUAUUUUGAUCACUUAAACAAAUACAGACUGAAUGGGGAAAAUGUCUUUGCAACUAAUGGGAUUGAAUGGUUGGACCAGAUGGCUUUCAUUAAUAUAGUUUUUAACAUUAACAAGCUAUGCAAGCACUUAUUAAUCCCAAUCAUGCUUUAUUUGUUUAUUUAUUAUGUCAUUAGUUUGAGGUUACAGUAGUCUGUGUGCUGUCUUACCAGGAUUUUGUUGGUCUUGUGACUGAAGGUACAAGUCAGCACAAAUAAAUGACUUGAUUUUGGAGAAGUUACUAGCAUUUAACAGAAGACAAGAAAUCUGACUCAAAGUAAAAUGAGCAUAUCUGUACAUUGUGUUCUUGUGGCUUUGCUGUUUAAAGAUUUACUGCGUGAACUCCUGGAUUACCUCAUGAUAGCGUUUAUCUCUCUAAUGAUGGUUAGUGAAUAAAUC